AGGCAGCAGUGGGGAAUAUUGCACAAUGGGCGCAAGCCUGAUGCAGCAAUGCCGCGUGUGUGAAGAAGGCCUGCGGGUUGUAAAGCACUUUCAGUGGGGAGGAAACAGUUGCGGGUUAAUAUCCCGCGUCCUUGACGUUACCUACAGAAGAAGCCCCGGUUAAUUCUGUGCCAGCAGCCGCGGUAAUCCAGAGGGUGCAAGCGUUAUUCGGAAUUACUGGGCGUAAAGCGCGCGUAGGCGGCUUGUUCAUUCGGAUGUGAAAGCCCCGGGUUUACCCUGGGAAUUGCAUUCAAUACUGCCAGGUUAGAAUGUAGUAGAGGGAAGGGGAAUUCCGGGGGUAGCGGGGAAAUGCGUAAAUUUCCGGAGGAACAUCAGUGGGGAAGGGGACUUCCUGGACUAACAUUGACGUUGAGGUGCAAAAGCGUGGGGAGCAAACAGGAUUAAAUACCCUGGUAGUCCCCCCCGUAAACAAUGUCAAUUAGAUGUUGGGGGGUUUAACCCCUUAGUGUCGCAGCUAACGCAUUAAGUUGACCGCCUGGGGAGUACGGCCGCAAGGUUAAAACUCAAUGAAUUUGACGGA
rnacentral:rRNA from 1 species